CGGGGUGUGGCGCAGCUGGUAGCGCGCGAAGUUUGGGACUUCGAUGCCGUCGGUUCAAAUCCGGCCACUCCGACCA
rnacentral:tRNA from 1 species